GAAGGGAGGGAAGGACAGACAGAAUGGAGCAAGAAAUAGCAGCCCCAAGCUGGGGGUGGCAGCUAGAAGUUCUGGGCUCACAGCCCCAGUCCCAGACAGGCAGGACCCCAGGGACAACCUGGGCUCACAAGCAGAAAGAGCAGGACACAGAGCCACAUUCAGCUUCGAUUCCUGAUCCCCACCCUAUUCUGACAUCUCCAUCCCCCCAGGACACUGGGUGACAUCUAACUUCAGUCUCUCCUGGCAGAAGAUCAGCCUCUUCCCAUUCAGAGUGCGGGGUGAAAAAGCAAGACUCAUUCUCCAGCCAGUCCGUCAUGAGCCGAAGUCUAGCUGUGCCCUUGUCUUCCUUGCUCCGGGCCGAAUAGCGCUAUUUUUAACUGUCUCCAUUGCUCCUGCCUCUCAACCUCUCCUUCCUGAUGCUUAACCCUUCUCAGUCCCCAGUUCCCAGUCUGUCCCAGGCUGAUGUGUCCUUCAGCUGACCCUUCAGGCAGUGAAAUGGGUGUCUUCUGGCAGACCAGUGGCAGACGGGCAGGCACAGGGGACACAGCAUCAGGUCUGGCCCAAACGGGAUGACUGGAAGGACCGAGUCUGGCUCCAGAACGCUGUGCAGGCAGAGCGGCUCCUAAACGGUGCUGAGUUCAGCCAGGAGUUUGAAAUUUGCUGUGAGGUCACCUAUUGCAAGGAAUUCCCAGAAUGUCAGCGGAGAGCGAAGCAGCCCAGCUCGGGGGCUUGGCGCUGAGGAAGACUCCCGUAAGCCUCCAGCCAUUCCCAGAAACUCUGCGCCUGCUGGCCGGGGCUCCUCCGGCCUUCUGGUGUUGACAGUAAAGGAAAGAGAUAAACACUGGUCAGUGCUAUGACUCAGACUAUUGUUGCUGUGUCCUCUAAGAGGCCUGAACUGUUAAAACCUAAAGACCACCCAUGGUGACAGCUGCUGAAAUGUGCCCUGGCAGCCCUCCACUUCACAGGAGUCCUCGGGGGACCCGUCGCCACCCGAACCUGUGGCCACCCCUCAUGAGACCCUCACACUCAGUCCUGGCCUUCAGCCACCUGAACCCCUGCCGACUUGGCAGCCUCCAGGCUUCCUGACAAGUGUCUGACCGGCUGCCAAUCUCCA